GUCCCCGUCGUCCAAUGGCCAGGACACCAGCCUUUCGAGCUGACAAUGCGGGUUCGAUCCCCGCCGGGGACG
rnacentral:tRNA from 1 species